rnacentral:rRNA from 1 species
UUCAGAGGGGGCAAGCGUUGUUCGGAAUUACUGGGCGUAAAGGGCGCGUAGGCGGCCUUCUAAGUCGAACGUGAAAUCCCCGGGCUCAACCCGGGAACUGCGUCCGAUACUGGAAGGCUUGAAUCCGGGAGAGGGAUGCGGAAUUCCAGGUGUAGCGGUGAAAUGCGUAGAUAUCUGGAGGAACACCGGUGGCGAAGGCGGCAUCCUGGACCGGUAUUGACGCUGAGGCGCGAAAGCCAGGGGAGCAAACGGG